rnacentral:rRNA from 1 species
AUUGAACGCUGGCGGCAUGCUCUACACAUGCAAGUCGAACGGUAACAGGCCGCAAGGUGCUGACGAGUGGCGAACCGGUGAGUAAUGCAUCGGAACGUGCCCAGUCGUGGGGGAUAACUACUCGAAAGAGUAGCUAAUACCGCAUACGAUCUAUGGAUGAAAGCGGGGGACCGUAAGGCCUCGCGCGAUUGGAGCGGCCGAUGUCAGAUUAGGUAGUUGGUGGGGUAAAGGCUCACCAAGCCAACGAUCUGUAGCUGGUCUGAGAGGACGACCAGCCACACUGGGACUGAGACACGGCCCAGACUCCUACGGGAGGCAGCAGUGGGGAAUUUUGGACAAUGGGCGCAAGCCUGAUCCAGCAAUGCCGCGUGCAGGAAGAAGGCCUUCGGGUUGUAAACUGCUUUUGUACGGAACGAAACGGCUCUGGUUAAUACCCGGGGCUAAUGACGGUACCGCAAGAAUAAGCACCGUCUAACUACGUG